rnacentral:tRNA from 1 species
GGCCCCGUGGCGGAAUGGCAGACGCAGCGGACUUAAAAUCCGCAGGCCCGCAAGGGCCGUGUGAGUUCAACUCUCACCGGGGCCA